GACGAACGCUGGCGGCGUGCUUAACACAUGCAAGUCGAACGGAAAGGCCCUGCUUUUGUGGGGUGCUCGAGUGGCGAACGGGUGAGUAACACGUGAGUAACCUGCCCUUGACUUUGGGAUAACUUCAGGAAACUGGGGCUAAUACCGGAUAGGAGCUCCUGCUGCAUGGUGGGGGUUGGAAAGUUUCGGCGGUUGGGGAUGGACUCGCGGCUUAUCAGCUUGUUGGUGGGGUAGUGGCUUACCAAGGCUUUGACGGGUAGCCGGCCUGAGAGGGUGACCGGCCACAUUGGGCCUGAGAUACGGCCCAGACUCCUACGGGGAGCAGCAGUGGGGAAUAUUGCACAAUGGGCGGAAGCCUGAUGCAGCAACGCCGCGUGCGGGAUGACGGCCUUCGGGUUGUAAACCGCUUUCGCCUGUGACGAAGCGUGAGUGACGGUAAUGGGUAAAGAAGCACCGGCUAACUACGU
rnacentral:rRNA from 1 species